UACGAAGGGGGCUAGCGUUGUUCGGAAUUACUGGGCGUAAAGCGCACGUAGGCGGAUAUUUAAGUCAGGGGUGAAAUCCCAGAGCUCAACUGUGGAACUGCCUCUGAUACUGGGUAUCUUGAGUAUGGAAGAGGUGAGUGGAAUUGCGGGUGUAGAGGUGAAAUUCGUAGAUAUUCGCAGGAACACCAGUGGCGAAGGCGGCUAACUGGUCCAUAACUGACGCUGAGGUGCGAAAGCGUGGGGAGCAAACGGG
rnacentral:rRNA from 1 species